GCCCUCGUGGACCAUGGUGGUCGUCUGGUUCAAUUAAAAUAGUGCGGAGGUAAAGCCAGAACGCGAUUUAGAGGGUUCAAUUCCCUCCGAGGGCA